CCUACGGGUGACAGCAGUGGGGAAUAUUGCUCAAUGGGCGCAAGCCUGACCCAGCCACGUAGCGUGAGUGAUGACUGUCCUAGGGUUUUUAAACUUCUUUUUUAAAGGAGUACCGUGAGGCACGUAUCCCUUUUUGUCUUUACUUUAUCAAUACGGAUCGUCUCACUCCGUGCCAGCAGCCGCGGUAAUACGGAGGAUCCGAGCGUGAUCCUGAUGUAGUGGGUGUAAAGGGAACGUAGAUGGGUUGUUAAGUCAGUUGUGAAAGUUUGCGGCUCAACCGUAAAAUUGCAAUUGAUACUGGCAGUCUUGAGUACAGUAGAGGUAGGCGGAAUUCGUGGUGUAGCGGUGAAAUGCUUAGAGAUCACGAAGAACUCCGAUUGCGAAGGCAGCUUACUAAACUGCAACUGACAUUGAUGCUCGAAAGUGUGGGGAUCAAACAGGAUUAGAUACCCUGGUAGUC
rnacentral:rRNA from 1 species